rnacentral:rRNA from 1 species
GACGAACGCUGGCGGCGUGCCUAAUACAUGCAAGUCGAACGCAGUGGGGACGGGUGAGUAACACGUGGGUAACCUCCCAUCAGAGGGGAUAACACUUGGAAACAGGUGCUAAACCGAUACUGAUGGAUGGACCCGCGGUGUAUUAGCUAGUUGGUGAGGUAACGGCUCACCAAGGCCACGAUGCAUAGCCGACCCGAGAGGGUGAGCGGCCAGACUGGGACGGAUACAAGGCCCCGCAUCCUAAGGGAUGCAGCCGUAGGGAAUCUUCGGCAAUGGACGAAAGUCUGAACGAGCAACGCCGCAUGAGUGAAGAAGGUUUUAGGAUCGUAAAACUCUGUUGUUAGAGAAGCGGUAUCUAACCAGAAAGCCACGGCUAACUACGUGCCAGCAGCCGCGGUAAUAC